rnacentral:lncRNA from 14 species
GGUGGUCGGUGAGGCCGAAGUAAGAAGUCUUCCUCCUUUGUUCCAUAGUUGACCCUUCAUUUAUGUCCUUAUAUGGAGUGGUUUGUCUUAUUUCUGCCAGUUCCUGGAACAUCUUGCAAGCCAGUUUCUGUAACAUCUUGUGGUCAUCUUAUGUUUGCAUAAACGGUUUCUGGUUUAAUUGGUGUAAGCGAUUGUGGUUUAUCUUAUCUUGCAUAAACUGUGUCCGUUAACUGUGUGCAUAAGCAAUUUCAUAUCUUUUGUUGUCUAACCUUUAUAUUGGGCUUAACAUAUAUAUAUACCUAACAUAUAUCUUAAUAAACAAUACCUUAUUCUUUAGUUUUUCACAGCACUUUCCUGCCUAUCAUAGAAGACUGUGAUGUACGAUGGUGAUGAAUGCAUCUUUAUUUGUAGAUAUGAUACUAUGAGAUAGCUUUAUUAUCCCUUGCUAAAAAUGCUUCCUUUGUUUGCUUUCCUAGCAGUCAGUGCAAAAAUUCAAGUUAAUAUCAUAAUAUCAUGGUAAAAGCUGCAAGCUCUGAAGUGGUACAGGCUGGCAGGAAGCUCCCAGUGUAUGGUUUGGUGUGAGCAGCACUGAUGUAUUAGGUUUGGCAUGGUAGUACAUGAGUUUUUUUCUUGUUUUUAGUGGCCAUCUAUGCAUCUGUGCUUAACUUGUUAACAAUUUAUGUUCAUAUGUACGAGGAGGAGGAACAUAAAGAUGAUGUAAGGAUAGACAGGUUCGUAAAACCAGCCAUUUCUUCAAGGGACGGCUGCUGCAGCAAUACCCUGCUUGCACCAUGCCCUAUAUGAGUGUCUGUUUUGAGCGAGUUUUACACGUGACCUGCACCCUGAUCAUGAGUUCUUUUUAGGCUGCACACCCACCUAUCAGCCUCAUCAGUGUUGAUGCUGUGGACCCACAUCAGUGGUUUCUUGAGCUUUGAGAAAACCCAGUUCUUGUUCUUAGGUAAAUAUAAGAACCCUUCUGUUUCAGAGCAGCGUGCAGCCAUGUGCACACUGUGUGUGCCAGAACAGACCCUUUCAAGAGCUCCAGAAGAUUUUUUUAGCCUCUUCCUUUCGUCUGCAAGACCAAAAAGGAAAGAGAGGUUUCUGCGACUGGGAAGCAGGAGAGGAGAGCGGAGGUCCCCGGUUUCCUCUUGACAUUUGGGUACUGCCAGCAGAGUUUGCAGCCCUUGGUGUUGUCUUUGUUGAAUUAGGACCUGCACUGCUGAGGAGAAGGCAAGGCCUGGAGGGAGGGAGGGAGAACCAGGAACAGGUCAGCCCCAGUAUUUUUCUGUAAUGAGGGUGGUAAAGCACUGGCAGAGGUUGGCCAGAGAGGUGGUGGAUGCCCCAUCCCUGGGGACAUUCAAGGCCAGGCUGGAUGUGGUUCUGAGCACCCUGAUGGAGUUGAAGAUGUCCCUGCUCAUGGCAGGGGAGGUUAGACCAGAUGACCUUUAAAGGUUCCUUCCAACCAAAACCAUCCUG